AUUGAACGCUGGCGGCAGGCUUAACACAUGCAAGUCGAGCGGAGCGAGGGUGCUUGCACCUUAGCUUAGCGGCGGACGGGUGAGUAAUGCUUAGGAAUCUGCCUAUUAGUGGGGGACAACAUUCCGAAAGGGAUGCUCAUACCGCAUACGCCCUACGGGGGAAAGCAGGGGAUCUUCGGACCUUGCGCUACAAGAUGAGCCUAAGUCGGAUUAGCGAGUUGGUGGGGUAAAGGCCUACCAAGGCGACGAUCUGUAGCGGGUCUGAGAGGAUGAUCCGCCACACUGGGACUGAGACACGGCCCAGACUCCUACGGGAGGCAGCAGUGGGGAAUAUUGGACAAUGGGCGGAAGCCUGAUCCAGCCAUGCCGCGUGUGUGAAGAAGGCCUUAUGGUUGUAAAGCACUUUAAGCGAGGAGGAGGCUACUCUAGUUAAUACCUAGGGAUAGUGGACGUUACUCGCAGAAUAAGCACCGGCUAACUCUGUGCCAGCCGCCGCUGUAACAC
rnacentral:rRNA from 1 species